rnacentral:miRNA from 1 species
UGGGUGUGUACGUAUGUGUGCAUGUGCAUGUGUGUGCACACGUGCAAUUUAAUAUAUUAUCUUGCAAGAAGAUAUGCAUACAAAU